rnacentral:rRNA from 1 species
GAGCUUGCUCUCUGGGUGGCGAGUGGCGGACGGGUGAGGAAUACAUCGGAAUCUACUUUUUCGUGGGGGAUAACGUAGGGAAACUUACGCUAAUACCGCAUACGACCUACGGGUGAAAGCAGGGGAUCUUCGGACCUUGCGCGAUUGAAUGAGCCGAUGUCGGAUUAGCUAGUUGGCGGGGUAAAGGCCCACCAAGGCGACGAUCCGUAGCUGGUCUGAGAGGAUGAUCAGCCACACUGGAACUGAGACACGGUCCAGACUCCUACGGGAGGCAGCAGUGGGGAAUAUUGGACAAUGGGCGCAAGCCUGAUCCAGCCAUACCGCGUGGGUGAAGAAGGCCUUCGGGUUGUAAAGCCCUUUUGUUGGGAAAGAAAUCCAGCUGGUUAAUACCCGGUUGGGAUGACGGUACCCAAAGAAUAAGCACCGGCUAACUUCGUGCCAGCAGCCGCGGUAAUACGAAGGGUGCAAGCGUUACUCGGAAUUACUGGGCGUAAAGCGUGCGUAGGUGGUCGUUUAAGUCCGUUGUGAAAGCCCUGGGCUCAACCUGGGAACUGCAGUGGAUACUGGGCGACUAGAAUGUGGUAGAGGGUAGCGGAAUUCCUGGUGUAGCAGUGAAAUCGCGUAGAGAUCAGGAGGAACAUCCAUGGCGAAGGCAGCUACCUGGACCAACACUUGACACUGAGGCACGAAAGCGUGGGGAGCAAACAGGAUUAGAUACCUGGUAGUCCACGCCCUAAACGAUGCGAACUGGAUGUUGGG